UCAGGUGAUAAAGAAAAAGAUCAACAACAUAUGCUGCCCUUUUCUAUUGAUCUUAACCAGACAUCAAUGACAAUGGAUGCAAUACAAACUAGAUAUGGUCACAAAAUUAUUAAAUAAAAACAAUCAAUUUUGUGUCUUUAGUUUGUAAUUAAUUUUAUCUAAGCUGAUGUGUUGAAUGUGCUUGUUAUUGCAGCAUUAGAAGAUCAUCAAAAAAAUCAAGAAUAUAUGGUACCGAUUUCUGUUGAUCCUGAGAAGACAACAACAACAAUAGUUGAUGCCAUGCAAGCUAGAGAUGAUGGCCAACAAAACUCUCAAAAAAACAUGCAACCAUUUUCUAUUGAUCUUAAUCAAAUGAUGACAAUAAUGGACACAAUGCAAAGCGGAAACGGUGUUGAUGAUAUUCAUAUGGAGGAUCAUGAUCAACACUUUUUUGGUUAAUCACUAUAGUGUAUUAUUCUCCAAUGUAUUAAUCGUUAAGUACUUUAACUCUAUUUUAAAAUUAGAGCUUGGAGGGAGUGGAUUCUGGAAUUAAGAUAAAGACAUUAUUUGUAUAUUGUACUUUUGAG